AAUCCCGUUAAAUUUUUGUUUAUUUCAGUUCUUUAAUGUAGAUCUAUAUGAGUACAUAAAAUUGUGUGUUGGAAACCUUGGAUUAUUUAACAGCUUAUUUAAUUGGAGCAUUCUAACUCAUCUGAAAGAGAAGCUAUCCUGAUUGCAAGUCAAAGUACCAAUGAGUGGUAAAGGGAUUUCGUAUUUUAAUGCGAAUUUUUCUUUCAAAAAAGAUUGGAGCAAUAGGCACCAGAUAUUGGCUCUUUUGUUGAAAAUCGCUAAUGUGGUAAAUGAUGCUGGCGGUAAAUAUUCAGAUGAUUGGGAAGACAUUGAAAAUGAAAGAAAGGUUCAAAUUAUGAUUGAAAUACCUGAACUG